UAGUGGCGAACGGGUGAGUAACGCGUAGACAACCUGCCUUCUAGAUGGGGACAACACUGCGAAAGUGGUGCUAAUACCGAAUGUUGUAUUGGAUCCGCAUGGAUUUGAUACUAAAGGUGGCCUCUAUAUAUAAGCUAUCACUAGAAGAUGGGUCUGCGUCUGAUUAGCUAGUUGGUGAGGUAAUGGCUCACCAAGGCGAUGAUCAGUAGCCGGUCUGAGAGGAUGAACGGCCACACUGGGACUGAGACACGGCCCAGACUCCUACGGGAGGCAGCAGUGGGGAAUCUUCCGCAAUGGACGAAAGUCUGACGGAGCAACGCCGCGUGAGUGAAGAAGGUUUUCGGAUCGUAAAGCUCUGUCUUUGAGGACGAAUGUGUUUAAUGUGAAUAAUGUUAAAUAAUGACGGUACUCGAGGAGGAAGCCACGGCUAACGA
rnacentral:rRNA from 1 species